AGUGCCACCUUUCCUGAUGUCAAAAGGAUGGCUGGAGCAGAUAGCCCCCUAGGACCCCACCAGCUUUGCAGGAUCUCAGUCUCCGAGUGAUAACUUUCUAGAAUGAGUCUAAAUAUUCUCAAGGGUACUCCAAAACUCAGUGGGGCCUACCCCCGGAAAAGCCAGCACACCGUCACAGUAGGUUCUAAUUUCAGUUCUGCCACUGAUGCUGUGUGACUUUGGGGCUUGGGGCUCAGUUCCUGUUUGCCAAAUGUGGACACCUGAAUGUGGACUCCCAGCCCCCACCACAUGUCUCCCUUAUCAGUCUGGGCCACUGGUUUUCUCAGCCCCAUUUUACAGGUGGGAAGGGAGAUCUAAGUGUCUAGCCAGAGGCACCCAUGAGUACAGCGGCAGUGUCCAGUUGCUGACCUUUAAAUAGAGGGGACCGGAAGGCUGGCAGUCAGCCAAUGGGUAA